GAACAACUGCCCACUAAGUAAAGCAAAAACCAUGUGAGCAGGUAAAGCCAACGAGGAAUUCAUUCACUAUUUCCCAUCAGAGGCAGCUGUUCAGUCCCUCCCAAAAGACUAGGGCUCAGCAUGCAUAGUGAUUUCCUGGGAAGACAAAUGCCAUCAGCUGCGAUAUUCCACCUUCCUUCUUCUUUCCCUCAGCUGUUACUGCUGAUCAUGAAGCCCUACGGUAUGAGAUAUCCCUUUGGUCAGUCUGGAUCAGCUGUCCACAUCCCCUCCCAGCUCUCUGUGCAUCCGUAUUUUUUUAAAAAACCUUGAUUUGGAAAAAGUAUCAGUGUAUUGUAAUAUUGAAGAGCAGUACAGCUUACCAUGAGCGCUUUGGAAAGCUUUACAGACAGGCACUGAACCUUUCAGCAGGAAGAUAUUGGGAAUGGUUUUGAUUACACUGCCCCGUACUGCAAAACAUACAAGGAGGGGGGAGUUCAUUUAAGAUGGAAUGAAGAUUGAACUACCAUGUAUCUUUUAACAUGCUACAAAUUAAGAACUGAACUUAUUUACUUCAGUGUGCAAGGGACACUGCGUGUCUUUGCAAACACAUAGAAACUUGAUGUGCCUGCAAGCAAACGUUUGGAAGGUAAGAAUAAUGAUACCAAUUCACUCCUAUAGACUGUAGACAUAAUUGAAUCCUCUGAGAAAUUAAGUAUACAAACACUGACAUAUAAAAAGCUAGAUAGAUUUGCUUGAAUCAGGACAGCCAACACAUAAAAAACAGCAGUAUCUAUCUACUUAAAGGGAGAGUGUUAGAAAGAGAGAAUCCAAUCAACAUAAAAGACAUGAGAUAAUACAAGAGUGACCUUUUCAAGUUAAGUUCCUGUAUUUUUCCUAAAUUAUUCUUUUUAUCAAAUGUUUCUAAUAAGUCCAUUCACCCAGACUAGAUGGGCUACUCUAGCAGUAAGAUGUUAUCCCCUGUGCUGUGACAAAGUCAGAAUGUAGACCUGAUGAAAUUGGCAGUAUCUCAUUUAGCUCAUGUUUGGAGAAAGAGAAGGUUAAAUACCAGUGUGUAGAGGCUUCCAUGGUGCAGUCUCAAUUUGGUCCCUCUUUUAUGACUCUUUUUCAUAUAUGCAACUUUGUGCUUUUUGUCAAAGAAUAUUUUGGUAACAGUAAUUAUCCAUUAGAAGAUUUAUCUCUGCUUCACAUUCAAGAGCUUUCAUGGCAUCCGUAGUUGAAUAAUUUUGAUACUGAUGGCUACUUGGUGGUUUUGGACUGAGUAAUUAUACAUCCACAGGGAGAGAAAGGCAUGCUGCCAAAGCAUUUCAAGUGCUAUCUCAGCAAUGCAAAAGACUUGGCAUUUCCCUCUGUCAUUUUUCAUUCUCAAAGUGCUAUAAACAUAUGCUGAAGAAAAUAUUUCAAGUACCUGGGAAGAGUAGCCCAGUACACUAUCAGCUCAACUCUUCUGGACAUUCUUAUUUAUUUUGCUAAAUGAAGGCAUCUUUAGAAACUAGUUAUCACAGAAGGAAUUAUUAUCCUUUUCGUUACUGUUGCACAGAUGUACUGUAUUUCUCCAUCGUCUCUUUUUUAGUAAUCAGAAUAAGACAGGUAAUCCUCCUGCUCUUUCCCCACUAGGUCACAUAGCAGAUACUGUAUGAACUGCUAUAUUUUCUGAGAACAAAUUUUGAAAUCUGGUCUUCAGUUUUCGGUUUUCUUAAUCUGUCCUCAUGUUUAAUCCAGGGAACAGGAUGAGGAAAGAGAUGAGUAUACUGUUGCAGUUUAGUACCAGUGUUCCCAUCGACUCGGUAAGUUACUGAAUUCCUGGAAUAGCCAUGCUUUACAUAUAUCCUCCACCAUCUGGAGUGUGGGUGGAAGGCAUGCUUGAACUAAAGGUGUUAAAAUUACACUAUUAAUGGUUUUGGAUGAUGUUGUCCUUAGGAGAACAAAAAGAACUUCAGCCAGUUAAUUAUUUUAUCUGCAGAAAGUAACAAAGGGACUUAAUUCAGCAGGAGUGCGGGUGUUCAUGUGUGUGUGCAUCUAUGUAGUCACAGAAAAAGAAUGCUUCAUUACAAUGAUAACAGGGGUGAUUUGAAUUAUUUGUUUGGUAUCUUUAUUUUUCCAUGUUUGCCGAGACAGACAAUUUCUCAGCUUCCUGUCAUGCUUCCUUCACUGAUCCAGACACUGGAGCAGUCUGUAAAAGGAUUCUACGGUUUACAGUCUUUUCAUUUCGUAAUUAUUUUACUUAGAAAUCAUUUUUAAGAUAAAAAUAAAUUAUUUUUUUACAGAUGUUUUCUGAAUCUGAAUUCUACAACAUGGUGUGGAUUCAGCAAGAAAUGUCCCGAGAAAUGGUGGAUCAGAAGAUAGAAAAUGGCAGUGACAUCCACCUUUGUGCCAGGCACAGUGCCGGUACUCCAGAGCCACACAACAACUGUCUCCAACCUCACAUUCGUGCUUGUAAUUCCAGACACGCUUAAUGACGUAUAUCAAUGGUUCCUCCCCCAUACAAUGUUAAAAAAAACUUCCACUUGUAUUUUCAAUUAUGUUAUUUUUCACUUAGACAUGUCUGAAACUUCAGCAACAACAAAUCUUUAACUUAUUCCCUUCUUUUUACUUCGGGUUGAUUUUGUUACUGGUUUUUGUUUGUUUGUUUGUUUUUCUUUUUCUGUCUUCACAACAUACUGCAGGUUUGAGUCUCUCAGAGCCAGAAAGAAAUCGGUAUCAAGACGUGCUAAGAAUGUAUUGUAGUUACUAAGGAAGUGGUUUCCCAAGCAACAGUAACCACAAGAAAUUUGACAGAAUUUCUUCCUUUGCUACUAUAUCAUGUUUGAAGAUUUCAAAGAGCCAGGAUGUGGGUAGCAUAAGUGAUUUUGUCCUUGUUAAACAGAAGCAGAUACAGUAAUGUCCUUGUCCUUACUAAAGAAAGGGUUAAAUUCAGUAAGUUACAAUUUUCCUGGUAGCAGAAAAAAAUGUGGAUGUGCCAAAUAGUCCUGCAGCAUGUGGGCAGAUGCUAGAGGCAACAUUCUCAGUUGUUACAUACUCAGUGGUGAUAUUUACCAUUCAAGAAAGCCAUGCCAACACUUUGGUUUGCUCCAGACACUGGAAGAGACAUUUACCAGCUUGAUGAUGUCAAAAAGUGUAGGAAACUUGCACUUGCUUGAUAUUAGUAGAAGGAUCAGAACCAAAGGUAAUGAAGUUGCAUUGUCCUAACUUCUCUGCAGUGGUGUAAACAAAAUGGAGUCAGCUGGGCAUCAAUCAAAGAAUGCAGUGUCAUUGCUAUUCUGUUUUGAUCAAGAAAUGAAAAUAACACAGUAGAUGUUGCCCUCUGAAAGUGAAUUUAAUGCUUGUUCUUAGAAGGGAAUUGGAAACAACAGGUUCUAUGGGUUAACAAGCAGUGCAAUUUAAUAUGUUUUCUCGAUAGAAAAUGUGAAUAAUUCCUACCUGCUUCUGUGCGCUGAGGUUUAUUGAGUGGUAAGGCACCACAGAGGCACUGUUAAUAAAGAGCUCAAUCCAGCAAGACAAAGAAAGAGAUGACUCAUUUUUCAUUUGAGUUUCAGGUACUAAGAAAAUCAAAAUUUCUUUCAAAAAUUUGUCUUUAAGAAGUGAUUCUUUAUAUCCACUUCAUGUUUAUGGUGAAAUUUAAAAAAGAAAAUGUGGUGGUGUGCAUGUGAGCCAAAUCCCAAGGGAAGGUAUGUAUUGAAGGAGGUGUGUUUCCAUAUGUUAUUAAGGUUCGUGCUUUGUAGGUACACUUACAUCUUUUCUGAAAACUUAGAUUUCUGCUUUGACCAGAGUAAGAAUUUUUUUACAAUUGUACAAACUCCUACUUAUCUUCUGGAUUGCAGGUCACCAUGCAUAAUGAAACAUUUGAGCUACGGAACCUUUUAAAGUAUACGAAGAAACAAUUAUGUGUAUUAUGAAACUGUUCAGCAGUAUGGAUUGGGGCCAGCUCUGUGCAUUCCCAGAUGUAAUGGACAUAAUUGCAGGUCUCCAAGCACAGACACUGAAGUGAAUGACUGAGGGGAUUUGGGGGCUUCACUGGCUCUGGAUCUGUAUCAGCAGUGCCAGAAACAAACUGGCUCAUUAAAAGCUUUAAUCUUAUUUCACUUAUUACCCUUUCACUUAUUUCUACCUUUGUGAACUGCUUCAUGCAAAGAACUGCCUUUUUAAACCAUCUCUCAAACCCUCUUCAAGUUGCAGAACUAAUAUUCUUAGCUAACAAGCUCUUAGUUAAGUAAGUGGUUAGAAAACUUCUAAGUCCUUCAGAAGGCUUCCUUCCAACACAUCCUCCGUAGACAUACUAAUGUGUUUGUAUUUCUGUGAUGCAUUAAGACAUCUAAAAGAAUACUGCUUGUAGGCAGGUAAAUGCUAUAAUUAGAAAAAAACAAGUUGAGUCUCCAAAUAAAGUCAUCUGUUUCUUUUAAAAAUACAGUAGAUGCACUAUAAUGUAGGAACUUAAUUUAUUUAAAUAAAGUUUGUUUGUAUUCAUGCACAGAACCCAACUAAAUCAAAUGUCUGCAGCUUUUGUGCAUGCUUGCAUUUUAAGCAGUUGCAUCUAAUCAGAAUAGUUAUCAUUUUAAUAGAGCUGGCGCACAUUAAAAAGAGCAUGGAUGGGGGGAUGUUACCCUCCCCCUCUACUCUGCCCUGCUGAGGCCACAUGUAGAGUACUACGUCCGGUUCUAGACUCCUCAGUUCAAGAAAGACAGAGAGAGUCCAACAAAGGGUCAUAAAGAUGAUGGGGAACCUGGAGCAUCUCCCUUCUGAGGAAAGGCUGAGAGACCUGUGACUGUUCAGCCCAGAGAAGACUGAGAAGGAAUCUUACCAAUGCCUAUGGAUAUCUGAAGUGUGGAAGUAAGGUGGAUGGGGCCAGGCUCUUUUCAGUGGUGCCCAGUGACAGGACAAGGGGCAAAGGGCACAAACUGGAACACUAGAAGUUCCAUAUGAACUUGAGGAAAAACCUCUUUGAAAGUGACAGAGCACUGGAACAGGCUGCCUGGAGAGAUUGUGGAGUCUCCUUCUCUGGAGAUAUGCAUAUCUGCCUGGACGCCUUCCUGUAUGACCUACUGUAGGGAACUUGUUUUAUCAAGGGUGGGACUAGAAGAUGUCCAGAUGAUCUCCAGCCACAGUGAAUCUGUGAUUCUGUGUAUCACUUUAUUUAUUCAGUUUUUUUUCUUUUUCAGAGAAAGCUGCCUCUGCCCUCGAAGGCCUCUCAUUUUACCAGGAUGUAUGCAGUGGACACAGACCUGAUAAGAAAUUAUGAGGUUGCAGUUUCUACUGGAAUAAGAGUUCAAUGCAGUCACUUACCCAGACUUCACUUCAUCAUGUCUGAGCACUUACAGCUAUAACUUGUGAUCUUUCUGGUUUAUUUGGAGGCACAGCAAGCCAGCUCCUGUACACAGAGGCAUCCUUAUAUGCUUUCUAAUGUGAUGCUGCUGCGUGGGAUAUUGAGAUCACAGUGAAGGUCGCAGUGCAAAUAUUUACAUACAGAUCAGCUCCUGAGGUAUCUGACAUUUACCUGUGCAGACAAAAUUUCACAGUAUCUCCACCAUUAAUCCAGCCUACAACAGCAAUUUCCUGGUUAUGAAGUCAUUUUUCUCAUUUGGUUGUGGGUUUGGUAGUUUUUACUUUGGAAACUUGUGACUUGUUAUUUAAGAAGGAAAGGGAUGUCCUUAAAAUUCAUGUUUGAUUUUUAAAAUCUACGUUUGCUUUGAUUUGGAAUUCAACUGUAUGAAUAGUAGAAAGAAACAUUUCUGUGUAUAAGGAUGUCAGGAUGUUGAAACAGCAGUUUAUGUGCAUAUUUCAGUUGCUUAAAGAAUUGGCAUAUCCUGAUAGGAACUAAUUCUGACCUAAUUUCUUAGAUCACUUCUGAAGCAGUAUUUAUCUCAGCCUACUCAUUCCUGUCUCAGUUGUUAAGCACUUAUGAAGCAGAUUUAAUGUGUUUAUGUCUCUGUAUCCCAAGACGUGGGCCUUUCUGGUAGGGAGAAGAUCCAUUCUUAGACAUAACUGAGGUAUGGAUUUACAGCCGCAGAGAGAAAAGCAGAAAAAAGCAAUCCCAGUGCCUGAGGUGUAUUGGCAAUUUCGUUUUACCUGUUAAAUAAAAAUUUCUGUGUUGUCGAUGAAGGAGGAUCUUCUAGGGCCUGUGAUACUGCAAUGAGGGCAGGUUAGGAUGUCCUAACCCCAAACCCAGAACUUGAUCUCAAGUAAUAAAAUGAGGCCUCUGCUCCAAAACAAACCAUACAAAAAAUCUUUGAUAUUUUAUAAAUGGUUUUAUAACAUUUGCUUUUUGACGACGGACACAGGAAAUGCAGUCUCUGGCAUUAUUUCCUUCAGAAUACUUAACUUUUUCUGGUACACUGUGAGCAGCAUUACACCAAAAAAAUUAGUGCUUAAACAUGUCUUGGAUUUCUGUGUCCUGAACUUCUUGUUUUAACUUCUUCUAGGCAAGUCUUAGUGUAUGACUCUCUGGAGACCCCUACAUAAAGGCUGUGAAUCUGAUUAGAUUCCAAAAUGGAAGAGCAAGACAUCUUGUUUUUGUCCAUACUCUUGAAAAUGUUAUCCUAACCCUCAAGAACAUUAAGAACAGUAAGGCUAUGAAGAGAUGGAGAAGAACAACUGAAGUUCCAUAACAAGCCAUUCUUUCUUCUGCUUCACAGUUCAAUUUGGUAUUGUUGAAUCACUACAUCAAGAAACCUAUCUGCAUCUUGAAGAACAUAUUGUUACUUGCACUGCUUUAUGUCAAAUUAAACAUGUAGACAAUUUCAAAUGGAAAGAAUGUUGGACAGUAUAGUAACAACUCAGAGUCAGGACUAAAAGCAAAAUUAGUUGCUCUCGCACAAGCUUUUGGCUUGUUAUGGAAGAAGAUGAUUACUGUAAUUAGUGACACUGAAGAUGUACAAUUCUCUUCAUGAAAUAGUUGUGGAUGAAGUCCAAAAAAUUAUUAUGCUGGCUGUUUGGCCAGAAAAUAUCAAAAGGGGACACCUGUGUUCCAGAUAGAAACAGCUGUAAAUAUGUUGUUACAUAAGCACUCGCUCUGCUCCCAC
ensembl:lncRNA